rnacentral:lncRNA from 1 species
UGAAGCAGAAACCACUAUGAUACAAGGGACACUGUAAUCAUCAACCAUGUUUCCAGUUACUCUGAAACCAGGACUCCUUCUUAACAAAGAGAGAGAGAGAGAGAGAGAGAGAGAAAUGAAGAUUGAAUAGUAAAAUAUACAGCUACAAAGCUAAAAAAGGUAGUUUAACAUCACAUGGUUUAUUUAAAAGGUAUGUCUACCUACUGCCCUCUUUCCUCUCCAUAAUUUUAUAUAAUUGAGUAACGUAUCUUCUAUUACAUUGAAUGUUGUUGAGGUUUUCUUCUUUUUUUCUUGAGAUUUUGUGUAUAAAUGACAAAUUUGGGGCAAUCUGUCUUUUUUAUUGUUAUAUGAAUUAUCUUGGUUAGCAGACAAUAUGGAAAUAAGCCAAAAAAUACAUUGAAUGAUUAUUUUAUUUCCCCUGAUAGUAGAAACCUGAGAUUUUAGUAGUGGUGGAAUGAAAAAUAAAAGCAAAACAAAAAUUUAGAAGUUGUUUUCAUAGAGGAAUCUGGAUACCUACUUUGUGAGACUAGAGUUACUUUAAAUGUACCCUAUCUUAAACUUUUUAUUUUGUGCUGACCGCAUACUAAAAUAUAUCCUAUUCUCUUUAUUUAAAUUUUUUUUAGUUGUAGAUGAACACAAUACCUUUAUUUUAUUUAUUUUUAUGUGGUGCUGAGGAUCAAACCCAGUGCCUCGCACAUGCUGAGCCAUAGCCCCAGCCCUAACACAUCCUAUUCUUAAACUUUUAACUUUGUACUGACUGCAUACUAAAAGAUGUUACUGAUGAGAGUUAAAUCACUGAAUUGCAAGAAUGACUGUCUACUCUAAGAGAGAGAAUUAAUAUAUAAAGCAAAUACAAACUUAAAUCUGCUACUUUUAUAAACUGAAUUUUAAUAGUUUAAGGAAGCAGUUUCAGAUUUGGUAUGUUUAACAAUUCGGAAAAUAAUUUUGAGGAACAGGGUAUAACUUUUACAGUUUUGUUGUACUGGUAUUCUUCCAUCUCAGAGAGCAAGUGCCAAAGGUCAUCUUUGCUUUCAGAGCAUUUUAAUGUGCUUUAAGAGGUUCACAUAAAACUGUAUCAAGGAUUUGGAUAAAAGUUACCUGCAUUUAUUUACAUAUUUCUAACCACAAAUUCAGUUAAUUAUUUAUAUUUUUCCCAGUAACAAAUAUCCUGAUAAUUGAGAAGGUCUUUGGUUUUUACUUGGAGGUCAGGCAUUGUCCAGGUGCCUGAGACUACUUAGCAUUUCUAUGACACUUUAGAGAUGCUUUCAGACUUUGGGUGGCUAACAAGCUGUGUUUUGUACAAAACUAAGGAUCUUAAUCUGAUCAAAUGGUGGUGCUGAAAAGCUCCCUUGGUUUUUAAUAUGAUGAUCUAAUGCUAGGAAAUUGCAGUCUCUUGUUAUUAUACAUAGAUCAAGACAUUCCAUUCUGGACGUGGACUGUAACCUCUGUAGACCUUAUUUUCUUGUUAAAGAUCAGAGGAUCUCUAGGCAACAGGAGUAAAUUUAAAUCACUUUACUUUGUCCACAACUAUCCCUUUCUCUCCACUCCCAUCUUAAACACUUUUAGUCUAAAGCAUAGCUUUCAGAGAAAAAAAUGGAUAAUUCGUGUUAAUUACAAAUCACGUUAUUAUUGGAUAACUUCAUUCCUUAUGAUUGACAUGAGCUAGAUCUAUUUUUUAAAUGCUGAUUUAUUUAUAGUGUUCCACUCACCUGAACUUUUUUAUGUUGUAGACCAUAAAAUGUUGGGAAUAGAACCAAUUGUAGUGGGUCUCCAUCAUUCUGAUUAGAAAAUUUUCAUUAGUCCUCUGAAUCUCACAUAACUUUGUCAAAAUAGUGACAAGUCCACAAAGUGCUUCCAUUAGCUUCUUCAUGGGCUUACUGCUGUUCUUGUCAUCAGGUACUUUUGAGCAGGAGAAAGAGUAGGAUGGAAUGGGAAAGACAGUAGAAUGAAUCAGACAUUACUUUCCUAUGUUUAUAUAUGAAUACAUGACCAGUGUAAAACCACAUCAUAUGCAACCACAAAAAUGGGAAAUUAUACUCCAUGUAUAUAUGAUAUGUCAAAAUACAUUCUAGUAUCAUAUAUGACUAAAAAGAACAAAUUAAAAAGAAUUUUUUAAAAAGUAGGUUCCCUGCUUCUGGUCAUUGGAAAACUAUCUCACAUUUUCCAUCAUCUGGUUGAUAAAUACAGUCCCAUACUUUAUUUUAACACAAUAGCUUUAGGUUAGAUUCAAGAUAGUCUUAUUAAGUCAGAUCAUGGUCAUGAAUGUCAAACCUUUCUGAAAAAUAGCUUACCUGAGGGGUCAGCUAAAUAUGUCCCCAUUGAAACAAAUCAAAUGCAAAGAUUUCUACCCCAGUAAGCUAAUAAACUAUCUUCUUGCUUUCCUUUCUUCAAAGUUUCUUUUCUUUCAAUCACAUCGUAGAUUUUUUGGUGGUGUUUAAAGAAUUUCUCAAAUUUUCAUGUACAAAAAGUGAUGCUUAUACUUAGUAUUUCCAAGGAAUCAAAUGAUUUUUUUUCCUUUUCAUAAUAGCCUAUAGAUGGUUUAUGGUACCUUUUUAAAGAAUCCUCAUAUUUUUAGUAUUUGAAUGUAAGCUUUCUAUUUUGCACCUUUAAAUAUGACAAUAUGACACCAAUACAGUUAAUGCAAAAACAAGCAAACAAACUCAGUUUUGAUGUGGAUUCAAUUAUCCAGGUAGCUCUUGGCCAUCAAAGACAGAUUUUCUUUUCUUUUCUUCUUCUUGGAUUUUUUUCCCCUAUUACAAAGGGAACUUAAGUAAAAAUUGGAGGAUGCUGCAGCUGUUAAAAGCUCUCCGAAGCCCAUUGAGCAAGAACAGAGCUGUUGAAUAAUGCAGACAAGAUAAUGAACAGCAGACAAAUGAUCCCAGGAGGCUACCCGCUGGGCAAAGGGAGUGUGUACUUAGAGGCUNAAAUAAAAGCAAAACAAAAAUUUAGAAGUUGUUUUCAUAAGAGGAAUCUGGAUACCUACUUUGUGAGACUAGAGUUACUUUAAAUGUACCCUAUCUUAAACUUUUUAUUUUGUGCUGACCGCAUACUAAAAUAUAUCCUAUUCUCUUUAUUUAAAUUUUUUUUAGUUGUAGAUGAACACAAUACCUUUAUUUUAUUUAUUUUUAUGUGGUGCUGAGGAUCAAACCCAGUGCCUCGCACAUGCUGAGCCAUAGCCCCAGCCCUAACACAUCCUAUUCUUAAACUUUUAACUUUGUACUGACUGCAUACUAAAAGAUGUUACUGAUGAGAGUUAAAUCACUGAAUUGCAAGAAUGACUGUCUACUCUAAGAGAGAGAAUUAAUAUAUAAAGCAAAUACAAACUUAAAUCUGCUACUUUUAUAAACUGAAUUUUAAUAGUUUAAGGAAGCAGUUUCAGAUUUGGUAUGUUUAACAAUUCGGAAAAUAAUUUUGAGGAACAGGGUAUAACUUUUACAGUUUUGUUGUACUGGUAUUCUUCCAUCUCAGAGAGCAAGUGCCAAAGGUCAUCUUUGCUUUCAGAGCAUUUUAAUGUGCUUUAAGAGGUUCACAUAAAACUGUAUCAAGGAUUUGGAUAAAAGUUACCUGCAUUUAUUUACAUAUUUCUAACCACAAAUUCAGUUAAUUAUUUAUAUUUUUCCCAGUAACAAAUAUCCUGAUAAUUGAGAAGGUCUUUGGUUUUUACUUGGAGGUCAGGCAUUGUCCAGGUGCCUGAGACUACUUAGCAUUUCUAUGACACUUUAGAGAUGCUUUCAGACUUUGGGUGGCUAACAAGCUGUGUUUUGUACAAAACUAAGGAUCUUAAUCUGAUCAAAUGGUGGUGCUGAAAAGCUCCCUUGGUUUUUAAUAUGAUGAUCUAAUGCUAGGAAAUUGCAGUCUCUUAUUAUACAUAGAUCAAGACAUUCCAUUCUGGACGUGGACUGUAACCUCUGUAGACCUUAUUUUCUUGUUAAAGAUCAGAGGAUCUCUAGGCAACAGGAGUAAAUUUAAAUCACUUUACUUUGUCCACAACUAUCCCUUUCUCUCCACUCCCAUCUUAAACACUUUUAGUCUAAAGCAUAGCUUUCAGAGAAAAAAAUGGAUAAUUCGUGUUAAUUACAAAUCACGUUAUUAUUGGAUAACUUCAUUCCUUAUGAUUGACAUGAGCUAGAUCUAUUUUUUAAAUGCUGAUUUAUUUAUAGUGUUCCACUCACCUGAACUUUUUUAUGUUGUAGACCAUAAAAUGUUGGGAAUAGAACCAAUUGUAGUGGGUCUCCAUCAUUCUGAUUAGAAAAUUUUCAUUAGUCCUCUGAAUCUCACAUAACUUUGUCAAAAUAGUGACAAGUCCACAAAGUGCUUCCAUUAGCUUCUUCAUGGGCUUACUGCUGUUCUUGUCAUCAGGUACUUUUGAGCAGGAGAAAGAGUAGGAUGGAAUGGGAAAGACAGUAGAAUGAAUCAGACAUUACUUUCCUAUGUUUAUAUAUGAAUACAUGACCAGUGUAAAACCACAUCAUAUGCAACCACAAAAAUGGGAAAUUAUACUCCAUGUAUAUAUGAUAUGUCAAAAUACAUUCUAGUAUCAUAUAUGACUAAAAAGAACAAAUUAAAAAGAAUUUUUUAAAAAGUAGGUUCCCUGCUUCUGGUCAUUGGAAAACUAUCUCACAUUUUCCAUCAUCUGGUUGAUAAAUACAGUCCCAUACUUUAUUUUAACACAAUAGCUUUAGGUUAGAUUCAAGAUAGUCUUAUUAAGUCAGAUCAUGGUCAUGAAUGUCAAACCUUUCUGAAAAAUAGCUUACCUGAGGGGUCAGCUAAAUAUGUCCCCAUUGAAACAAAUCAAAUGCAAAGAUUUCUACCCCAGUAAGCUAAUAAACUAUCUUCUUGCUUUCCUUUCUUCAAAGUUUCUUUUCUUUCAAUCACAUCGUAGAUUUUUUGGUGGUGUUUAAAGAAUUUCUCAAAUUUUCAUGUACAAAAAGUGAUGCUUAUACUUAGUAUUUCCAAGGAAUCAAAUGAUUUUUUUUCCUUUUCAUAAUAGCCUAUAGAUGGUUUAUGGUACCUUUUUAAAGAAUCCUCAUAUUUUUAGUAUUUGAAUGUAAGCUUUCUAUUUUGCACCUUUAAAUAUGACAAUAUGACACCAAUACAGUUAAUGCAAAAACAAGCAAACAAACUCAGUUUUGAUGUGGAUUCAAUUAUCCAGGUAGCUCUUGGCCAUCAAAGACAGAUUUUCUUUUCUUUUCUUCUUCUUGGAUUUUUUUCCCCUAUUACAAAGGGAACUUAAGUAAAAAUUGGAGGAUGCUGCAGCUGUUAAAAGCUCUCCGAAGCCCAUUGAGCAAGAACAGAGCUGUUGAAUAAUGCAGACAAGAUAAUGAACAGCAGACAAAUGAUCCCAGGAGGCUACCCGCUGGGCAAAGGGAGUGUGUACUUAGAGGCUAGAUUUAUUAUCCCAACAUCUUUUGUGGUGACCUCCAAUUUAUUGGAAAUACCUGAGACAUUUAUAAACUGAGCAUAUUCUUCCCCUUCAACGGAAGCCAAACUUGCUCAUCAUUUCUACCUUAGCUGCCUGAAGCAACAUAGCAAAGUUGCAGAACACCAAACUUCCUCUUUGAAAAAAGAAAUGAUUAUUUAGCCAGGUAAAGAGAAAAGAACCAAGAAAGUAACCUUGUGGUCGAUUUGUCAACUGAAGUACAAAUUUGUUAACUGAAGUGGCUCCCUAGACUAUAGGAAAGUAUUCUAUGACAUGAGGCUUUCUUGUUUACUAGAAACUGCCAGUAAAGUUUAAACCUUCAAUGAUUAGAUUUGUUAAUAUACCAUUUUAUAGGCACAAUCUAUUCCCAAUUAAAUUUGGAUCAUUUUGUAACAAAAUGAUAUAACAAAAGCAUAAGUGUGGGAUAUAUUGUAUGCUAGAUGGGAUUAUAAAUUGCUUUUGAAUUAAAAUAAGCAUUCUUGUGAGAUAGCUUUUGAUGCAAGACUUAUUCUUUUGAUAAAUUAUCAAAAUUUAUUUUAAACAAUUUCACAGUCAAAUUUAGUGAGAACCUCAAUAUAGGAUUAAAGAAAUCAUUCCACUUGGAAUGAGAAUCUUCCAAAUCCAUGAAUGAACUGAUUUUGGAAAUCUUUUAACUACAUUACUCUUUCUAUCUAGUCUGCUCUUUUGUUGUUCUUUGUUUUGUUUUUUAUUUUUUUUUUAACAGAACUUUCCUAAUUUUAAAGCUCAAUCAUUUUGACCUACCUGCCAAUUUACCCUAUUGAGGUUUUAGAGUUUAACCAUAUGCUAAUUAUGCCAAUAUAUUAAUUUAAGAUAGCAAAAUUCUGAUGACCUUCAUUACCUAAAAGAUACUGCUCUGUUUAUUCACGUUAUAUCCAUCAUUUCAAUCAUAUUAAGAAUAAAUUGAGGGCUGGGUAGCUCAUUGCAGAGUGCUUGCCUAGACUAGGUGAGGCCCCAGGUUUCAUGCUCAGCAUUGAAAAAAAAAAUUCAAUAGUAUGCCAGGCACAGUGGUACAUACCUAUAAAACCAGUUAUGCUGCAGAAUGAGGAAAGAGGAUGGCAAGUUCAAAGCCAGCCUGGGCAACAUAGCGAGAUCCUGUAUCAAAGUAAAAAUAAGAAGGGCUAGAGAUAUAGCUCAUUGAUAGAGCACCCCUGGGUUCUAUCCCUAGUACUACUAAAAAAAAUAAAAAUAAACAAAAAAGAAAAAUGAAAAAGAGUUUAGGAAUUUUCAAUUUAAGUGAUAAUACUUAAGUUGUUGAAAAUCUUUUUUUUUUGUACUUGUAUAUUUGAGUAAAUCAAAUAGAAAGGUUUUAGUUUCUAAAAGGGAUUGAAAUGAAUGAGAUUGAAUAUAAACUUGGAGUACUUAAAAUAACAUAUUAGAAAGAAGAAAAUCAUGGUAGAUCCUUGUAAAAGGCAGGUGGAAUUCAUAAUAAUAACUGGAUGAAAAAACUUACUAAAGCUGAGAUAAGAUGUGCUACAAUAUUCUGCAGAAUAGCACCUACAUGGUUCAAGUGAGCAAGCAGAUGGCUUUGAAUGCCCAACAGCACCACAAAUUAAUUAAGACCAUAUCUAUAUGACUAGUACAUUUGCUCUUUUUCUUUUUAAAUUUUUUUUUAGUCGUAGAUGGACACAAUGCCUUUAUUUUAUUUUUAUGUGGUGCUGAGGAUCGAACCCAGUGCUUUCCACAUGUGAGGCAAGCAGUCUACCACUGAGUUACAAUUCCAACCCACACUUUUUCUUUUUGACCUCUGUGCUGGUUGCAUUCUGAGUUCAUAACCAGAAUGUCUAAUUAUCAGAAUCAUGUUAAUGAACUGAUUGCAUUUACUAGUGUCAGUGAGAGCAUUCCAAUCAUUUCUCAAUAUUCAGACUGAAAAUGCACAUAAAUUGAAUCAUAGGCUUUGAGCAGCAAUAAAUGAAACUUCCGCAAGUACAUAUAUUUAAGUCUCAAGAACUAUUUUAUGGGGCCAGGGCUUGGACUGUAGCUUAGUGGCAGAGCACUUGCUUAGCAAGUGUGAGGCACUGGGUUCGAACUUUAGCACCACAUAAUAAAUAAAUCAGUAAAUAAAUAAAUAAAGGCAUUCUGUCCAUUAAAAAAGUAUUUUAUAUAUAGUGUGUAUAUUCUUGCUAAUUAACUAAACAUUAAAAUGUAACAUAAAAUAUGAAAUAUGUUCAGGCUUAUAAAUAUAAAUUCAUCCAUUCAUGCAUCCUUUACCUUUUUUUUUGAUACUACUGUUAUCUUCCCAUGAUAGAUCUAGGAAUACCAGCAUGCAGAUACAUACCCCAAUGCAAAAUGGUAUUUUUUCUGAGCAAGCAGGGGGUAAAGCUUUGACCAGGGGAAAGUUUACAUAUUCUGUUAUAUAGGAGUGCCAAAUCUACCAAAAUCCUGAUCACUGGAUAGUGAAACUCAUCAGUUCAAAUGCCCCACCCAUGUGCACAGAGUUAACAUUAGCUUUUUAAUACUUUAUUCCAUACAGUAAGCAAUCAUCAAACAUUUAAGGAAAGCUUCAAAUAUGAAAGAAAGAGACCAAAAUAGAAAAAAAUUAAAUUAAUUUUAAAAAAGCAGUUCAGAGUUUAUGAAGAAAAAAAGCACUGGCAAAAAGAACAUCCAUAAUUAUUUUCCGGAGAGAAAUAAGAAAACACAGUGCUUCCAUAAAACAAGAGCAAUAAAAGAGAAUAAUUCUGUCAGUAAGAAAAUUAAAAUAGCAUAAAUAAAAAUCUCAAGAGCAAUUUGAAGAUAAAGUCAAGAAAAUAUUUUAAAUGGCAGACCAAUGAGAGAAAAGAAAAAAAAAAAGAGCAUCAGCCAUGUUAUCCAAUAUUUCGAUAAUUUUUAAAGCACUACCUGAAAACAGAAAGAAGAAAUGGGAUAAUAUCAUUAAAUAUAUACACUUUAAAAAUUACUACAACUAGAGAACACAAAUCCAGAUUGAAAAAUCUGUUGAAGGCCCAACACAUGAAAAAGUCACAUACCCACCUCAAGGCACAUGAUUAUAAAAUUUUAGUACUUUGGAGGAAGUGGAUAUUCUGAAAGCAUUUAAGUGUAAGUUUAAAAAAGAAAACUCAUAAAGGAUCAAGAGAGGAAUUGGUUUUACGACCACAACUUUGGAAACUAAAAGAAAAUGGAGGAAUGUCUUCAAAAUUAUGAAGAAAAGUGCUUUCCAAUUUAGAUUUCUAUACCCUGAAAAACAACUUAGUGAAUUAGAGUAUUAACAGAAUUUAAUAUCUCCCAAAAUAUAUUUGCCUACACCAUUUCUCACAAAGUUUCUGGAGGAUGUAUUCCACUAAAACAAUAAAGGCAACAGAGAAAGGAAAAGCAUGGGAUCCAAAAUGGGAGACAAAAGACAGAGAAAGGUAAAAGAAAUUCCCAGGAUUAUGGUGAAAGAAGAUCCCCAGUGCAAGACCAGACCAAGAAAGUAGCAGUCUAAAGGGGAGCAGUAGGAAGGGGAGCUCUAGAAUAAAAAUAUAAACUAUAUAUAUUUGCAUAUGUCAAAAGAGUUUUCUUUUAAUAUAUUUGCAUAUAUCAAAAGAUUUCAAAUACAGAGUUUGGGGAUGAACUGGUGAUCAAUUCAUAGAUAAGAACAAAAUAGGUAUAAAAAAUGAGGUAAUCAUUAACUUUAUGAGGGAAAAGUGUACUAGGCACAAAAGGUAAUAUUUGAUGUGCUCCUAUAAUCAUGUUGGUAAUUUAUCUGGUAAAAACGGGGUGAUAUAGAAUUUGUUUGGUAGAGGGUAAAUGUAUGUGUGUGUGUGUGUGAGAGAGAGUGAGUGAGAGAGAGACAGAAAGACAGACAGCGGCAUAUAAGAGAGUCACUUUUUAUUGUAGGUUAUCAAUGGGUAAUACCUAAAGACUGGUAUAUUAGGAGAAAGAGCUAAAGGAAUUGAAAUGGUUAUAUGGAAUAUAGCAAUGAGAAAUACCACUCAUUGCUAUAUUCCAUAUAAGUUGACUUCUGGACCCCAAGUAGCAGAAUAGAGAAGGCUGAAAAGUGAAUUUGGAGAGAUAAAGAAGAUAUCCAAUACAGUAAGUUUCAGAGAGGACAGGAAAGAGCAUUAAAGAAAAGAAAAAUGAAACAUAAAUAACCAGAGUUCUUAAUCCUAGAGAACAAAAUGAUUGAAAUAAUUGAACAAAAUGAUUCCAGAAUAUGAAGUUUAGUUUAUAGAUUUAAAAAAGCCAUUUUAUACAAGUAAAAAAAUAUCUUGGACUGUAAUAAAAUGGGUUUUAACUCUAUAAAUCAGAUAGCGACAGUCUGUAUGCCAGUACAACACAUUAAACACUUGAAUGAUUCCUUGGAAAGUUUUUUAUUUUAAAAUAUAUUUUUAGUUAUAGAUAGACACAAUGCCUUUAUUUUACUUAUUUAUUUUUAUGUGGUGCUGAGGAUUGAAUCCAGUGUCUCACACAUGCUAGGUGAGCAUUCUACCACUGAGCCACAACCCAGCCCUUUUGAGCCUUUUUCCAUGAUAUUUAUAAGUUUCUCUGAGGAUUACAUACUGUUUCUCUUUUAAAGGCAAGAGAAAUUCACCAAAUAACUCUUUUAACAGUUCUAAUUUUUUAAAAAUGUGAAGCCAUACUAAAAAUCAUCAUAUACCCUUAGAAGCUGUAUUAUGUCCUAUGGUUAUGUUAACGAACCUCCACACACUUAGUGGUUUAACUCACAGUUCCCAUGGGUCAGAAGUCUGGGCAGAGCUUACUGCGUCCUGUGUACAGGUUCUCACAAGAUUGUAAUCAAGGUAUCAGAAGGGCUGUGUUCUCAUCUGGAGGCUCAAUUGGGAAAAAAUGUGUUUCCAAGGAUUUAUUUGCUGUAGCUAUAUGAUGAGGAUCCCAGCUCAUAGCUUGUAGUCACUGUCGGAUCCUAGAGACUGAGUUAAGAUCCUUGCUAUAUAUAUAUUUCUUCAAAAUGACUCUUUACUUCAAGCCAGCAAGGAGACUUCCUCACUUUGUUCUGCUAGGAAGGAGUCUUAUUAUAGCACAACCACUGCGGGAGUGGUAGUCCAUCACCUUUGCCAUGUCCAAUGAGAGAGAGGAUCAUACAAAAGCAUGGACACAAAUUAAGGAAAUCAGUGGUGGUCCCUUAGGUCUGUCUUCUGUAUGGGUCUCUAAAAUUUAUAUAUACACGUAUUUUAGUACUGGGGAUUGAACCCAGGGGCUUUCAACCAUGAGCCACAUCCAUAGCCCUUUUUCUUUUUUAUUUUGAGACAGGGUCUCACUAGGUUGCUUACAGCCUCAUUAAGUUGCUGAGGCUGAUUUUGAACAUGUGAUCCUCCAGCCUCAGCCUCCUGAGCUGCUGAGAUUACAGGCAUGUGACACCAGACCCAGCUGAAAAUAUUUUGAAAGCUAAGAUCUGCUAAGUUUUGCUGUACAUGCAUGGUAUUUAACUUAAUAGUUUGUCUACUCCUACACACAUUUCAAUUUUUUAAUUUUUAAAGUGUAAAAGUAAUUUUUUGACAAAACAACUGGUAGCUUCACUCUACUUUAUUUACAGUGCAAUGGUAUCCCCUUCGAUGGUUGUGCAUGGUGUUUGUCUUAUUUUUCACAUUAAGCACAGUACCUGACUUAGAAGCUGGUCAAUGAAUAACUGAUGAUUCAAUUAAUUCCUUCCCUAAAAUAUUUCAAAAAUCCAAAGUUUGGAUAUAUAUUCAAAAAAAUAACACUAAAGCUUUAUGCUGUUAAGACCUGCCAUGUAGCUGUUAAUUGUUACUGUUACUGUAGCACAGAAUAAUAAUGAAAACUAAAAUUCAUUGACUACUUACUCUGUCCCAGGAACACCUUUUAACUAUUUAGUUCUCAAAAUGACCCUAAGAGGACACUUAUUUAUUUUAAGAACAGUGAACUCUUAAAAAAAUCUUAUGAUGAUAAGUUUGAGAAUCAAUAGCACUGAGGUUUAAACCUAUCAUUUAUCCUCUUAAAAUUUCAUUAUUGUAAACUGCUCAGUCUUUUCCCCCUUUUAUAAGGUCAUGGUCACCUAAGCCAACUCCAACAUGAACAUUAAAACAUCUUUUUUUUUCUUUGACCUCAAGGUGUUCAACAGGUCAUUUUACCCCUUGAACAAAAAGUAGCCUUUCAUAUUUAAACCACGAAUGAUUAUUUUAUGCAGCUCUGAAAAUGUAUUUAUAAAUAAUCAUGUAUUCAAACAUAAUAAGUCAUUUAGGACUGUAAUUAGUCAUUGUCAAGUCCUGGCAAACAGCAGGAUUCUAAUUGGAAAGCAGUGUUUGCCCUACUUGUGCCUCAAUGAAACUUUCAGAGAAGGGCAGCAUGUGCUUCUUAAUCUGUUUUUCUAACAGCUAGUAGCGAAUCAAUGAAGAUGAGGCUGGUGGCUAUGAUAAAUUAAUAUGCACACUGACAACUUAUAACCGUGCAAUUGCUUAGGGAAUUACUAUGUGACUAUAUCCAAGUAAUUAUAUGUUUUAAAUGAUUUAUCUCAAUUUGUUAACAAUACACCCUUAAAAUGGAAAUAAAAAGAGAGAAAAUGCAAAUAGCAUGUUAUACCAACUUUAUGUUGAACUUAUUAAGAGGUUGCCCUUUUAAUGAAGAAUUUAAUGAAUUAAGAGGUUUGUUAUGAAGAAGCAUUCUUACUACUUGUUAAGUGUUUGUCACCACAGACCUGUCAUAGUCAUUCUAAUUAUGAUUAAUACCUUAUCUUGAAUUCCAUCUUCAUUCACAUUUCAGUAACAAAUGUAACUUCCAUUAUAUGAUCAAGGUUCAUGAAAACAGGAUGAUUUGCCUAUGACCUUAUAUUUUAUUCAUUUUUGCAUUCAUAUUUAACAGAUUUCUCAGCAAUGAAGGUUAACCUUAUGGAUCUUUUAAUUUUUAAAGUGCAUUUUAUCCCUGACAUGCUUUGCAACCAUUGAUACUGCUUAAGAUCAUGAUUGUGUACUCAAGACAAAUGAAAAAUCCUAACAUUUUGAUUAUUUUAGUGUAUAUCCAGAAAUGGCUACUUUAAAGCAUUGUCUAAAAAUGUUUUUGUCUGGUAUGGACAAAGCUGGUUUAAUUCUCUCAAACCUUACUAAUAUUCUCAAUACGGAGGACACAAGUUUAUGAAGUGCAAAAAUAAUGUAUUAGAAUGCAGGGUCAUAUUUUCAGUGCAGUCUCUAUGUAAAUUGUGUCAAGUAUGGAGGUUAUUGUUGUUGAAUUUAUUUUUAAGUAGCAUAAUGUGAAAUCUAUAUUAUAUAAUGCUAUUUAUAUAUCUCUUCCUUUUUAGUCUUUUUCUUUUAUUCCUAUAUAUGCAUCCACUUUUGUAUACUUUUUCUCCUUUUUCUGCUUCUUCCUCCUUUAUUCUGUACCCACUUUAUUUCCUCUUUUUUUAUUUCCCAUCUUCAUUUUACUCUUUGUCUUUGUCUCCACUCUCCAGGGACAUAUUCUCACUAUUUCUAUUAUCCUAUUUUUUCUCUUUUACCCUUCCCUUUGUACAUCAUUCUUCUCCUUCAAGGGAAUUUAUAUUUUCUACCUGCAUAAAAGGCAGGCUAUAGUCCAUCUUGGCAUUUGAUUUUGUGUUUUUAAGUGUACUUGUUUACUUAAAAAAUGUUAAAAGCUCUGAAAGGAAAUAAAAAUAAUAUUGCUUCUUUUUCUACCUCUUUUUAUUAGACUAUGAAGAGAGAAUCUCUAUGAGAUCCAAAAGUGCUACAUUAAUAAGCUCACUAUCAUCUCCGUGAAAAUUAAGCCAAUUAUUAUUGGCAACAACAACAACAAUAAUAAUAAAACAAUGGACUAUCAGAAAACCAGAUCAUGUAUCAAAUGUGAAGUCUGCUCUCCUAAGGGCUGGGUAUCAACGAGGGGCAGCUUCUUUAGUGGGAAGAAGCUCUCUGGUCCCCAGAGCCGCUGAAUCCUUCUCAAUCUCUGGUGUUGAUGAGGAACACUCCACAUGUAACAUCAUCAAGGCAUUUGCAGUAAGCCAGGUAGCAGGAGCGAAGUGUAUGCAAAUCAGGGAAAUGAACUCUCUCCUGAGGUCUUCCAAAUCACUCAAUUCUUGAAGCAAUUAGCAGAUAGUCUAUUUCCCCUUAAACUAGAUGCAUUUACAUUUUCUUCAUCAUUUGAAGCAUGUCUUCACACAUUUCAGGUUCUCCAUUAUAAGCAGAGAUAAGCACUAUGCACUUAUUGUCGAAUCCAGUGGAAUAAAGUCAAACACUCG